rnacentral:rRNA from 1 species
CCUACGGGAGGCAGCAGUGGGGAAUCUUGCGCAAUGGGCGAAAGCCUGACGCAGCCGUGCCGCGUGUAUGAUGAAGGUCUUAGGAUUGUAAAAUACUUUCACCGGUGAAGAUAAUGACUGUAGCCGGAGAAGAAGCCCCGGCUAACUUCGUGCCAGCAGCCGCGGUAAUACGAAGGGGGCUAGCGUUGCUCGGAAUUACUGGGCGUAAAGGGAGCGUAGGCGGACAUUUAAGUCAGAGGUGAAAUCCCGGAGCUUAACUUCGGAACUGCCUUUGAUACUGGGUGUCUUGAGUGUGAGAGAGGUAUGUGGAACUCCGAGUGUAGAGGUGAAAUUCGUAGAUAUUCGGAAGAACACCAGUGGCGAAGGCGACAUACUGGCUCAUUACUGACGCUGAGGCUCGAAAGCGUGGGGAGCAAACAGGAUUAGAUACCCUGGUAGUCCACGCCGUAAACGAUGAUUGCUAGUUGUCGGGAAGCUUGCUUCUCGGUGACGCAGCUACGCAUAGACAUCCGCCGUGGGAGUACGGUCGCGAGAUAAACUAACGAAGAAGUUAGAGNGUUGAGAGNGCGAGGCGACGACGAGGAGAG